UACGUAGGUGGCAAGCGUUGUCCGGAAUUAUUGGGCGUAAAGCGCGCGCAGGCGGUCCUUUAAGUCUGAUGUGAAAGCCCACUGGCUCAACCGUGGAUGGGUCAUUGGAAACUGGGGAACUUGAUGAUGCAGAAGAGGAAAGCGGAAUUCCACGUGUAGCGGUGAAAUGCGUAGGAGAAUGUGGAGGAACACCAGUGGCGAAGGCGGACAUU
rnacentral:rRNA from 1 species